GACGAACGCUGGCGGCGUGCUUAACACAUGCAAGUCGAACGAUGAAGAAAAGAAUUGAAGCUUCGGCAGAAAUUCAUUUCGGAUUAGUGGCAGACGGGUGAGUAACGCGUGAGCAACCUACCUCUUACAAAGGGAUAGCCUCGGGAAACCGGGAUUAAUACCAUAUAACAUUGCGACGAAGCAUUUCGAUGCAAUCAAAGCUACGGCGGUAAGAGAUGGGCUCGCGUCCCAUUAACCAGAUGGUGAGGUAACGGCUCACCAUAGUAACGAUGGGUAACCGGCCUGAGAGGGUGAACGGUCACACUGGAACUGCGACACGGUCCAGACUCCUACGGGAGGCAGCAGUGGGGAAUAUUGCACAAUGGAGGGAACUCUGAUGCAGCGACGCCGCGUGAGUGAUGAAGGAAUUCGUUUCGUAAAACUCUGUUCUAUGGGAAGAAAAGGACUGUACCAUAGGAGAAAGCUCCGGCUAAAUACGUG
rnacentral:rRNA from 1 species